GGAUCCUAGAGGGACAUUGGUCUCUAGAUGGCUUUGUUCAUCUCCUAAUAAUGUCUGGUGUGUCUGGAGUCAGGUCCUGGUGGAUCCUGACUGGUAUCAAGAGACAGUCCAAUGUUAAACAUAUGUUUUCUUCCUUAUGGCUGUGAUGUCCUUGGAUCGAUACCUGGCCAUUUGCAAGCCUCUGCAUUACCCCACCAUCAUGAGCCUGAGGACUUGCUUCCACCUGGUCACUGCCUGCUUUGUCAUGGGCUUCACUCUCAUCACUGGUCUCAUGGUGAAGGUUUCCCAGUUAGAUUUCUGCGGACCCCAUGUCAUCCCUCACUUCUUCUGUGACCUCGGCCCUCUGAUCCAACUCUCCUGUUCUGACGCCAGAUCUACUGAAAUGUUGGCCUUUGGCCUUGUUUCAUUCAUUCUUUUUACAUCCCUCAUUAUAACCAUCAUUGCAUACGGCAACAUAGUAGUCACAAUUCUACGACUUCCGUCAGCCAAGGAGCGGCAGAAAGCUUUCUCCACCUGCUCCUCUCACCUCAUUGUCCUCUCUCUGGUGUAUGGCAGCUGUCUCUUCAUAUAUGUGAAGCCGAAGCAAAUGGACAGGCUGGACUCCAACAGAGAGGCUGCUCUUGUGAACACAGUGGUGACCCCGCUGCUGAACCCGAUCAUUUACACUCUGCGGAACAAGCAGGUCCACCAGGCUCUGAGGGAUGCUCGGUCCAGAGUGAAAUUGUAAAAACAGAAUCACAACCUCCCAGUGAAGGAAUGCACCUUCCCUUCAUCUAAUCCAAUCUUUCUCCUGUUUCUGGAAUUCUUUAUAAAAAAUUUGCAAAUAUGGUUUUUUUAGGUUCUGUUUGUUUUUCUUAGAAUAAGGGCUAAUUUAUCUAAUAAUUCAACCUGAAAGCUCUUAUAUUACCUUUAUUUUGAGAUGAAAGUAUUCUCCUGAAUCUUUUUACUAGUUUUAAAUAAAUAGGAUUCAACAAAUUUUAGUGAAGAACCUCAUAUACAUGAGUCUGUUUGAUGCAUGUGGAAUUUCAUAGCUGAAAUGAUGUAGUUUUAAGUAUCUACUUGUGGUAAGUGCAAAGGGAUGAAGAACAAACUUCAUAAGUAUUAAGAGUAUCAAGUUAGUUCAAGGGUAGAUAUAACAUGGUCAUUGUAUGAAGUUUUGAAGGAAACAUAUAUACACAACUGUCAGGAUAUCAAUGUAAUUACUUAAGAUGACUCAGUACAAUUGCUUUCAAUGUUGAAUAUUCUGUAUAUAAAUCUUUACACUUUUUGUUCCCACUAUGAUAAAAACAUAUAACUGUCUCUAGAUGAAGUUGCAAGUCCUUGUUGGUUUCAUUGGUUUGCAAGAUUGAUUUCAGUGCCCACAGACCUGAAAAUGAAGCAGCACAGGGAGAGAAACAUUACAAUUUAUGGAACAAGGAAUUAAAUAGUUAAUAUUUGUUUCCCUACUACAGAAAGUUUAAAGGAAUUGGGAGAAAUAUAAUCAGAGGUGGGAAGAAGUCUGUGACUGUGAAAUCUCUUCAAAUGAAUGUAUGAACAAGUCUCUUCAUUUGUGGAAUGAGAGGUUUGGUUGUGUCACCUUGGGAUGUUCAUUUUAGUACUAAUGUGAAGUGACGCUAUUGAUACUGAAUGUGAUGCAGAAACAUGCUGUAACAGAAAUAUAAUUUGAGAAUGGCAGAGAGAAGAUAAUGAGAUGUUUUAAUGGAAGCACUUAUGCUACAACUGAAAUUUAGUUAUUCAAGAUUUUGAUAGGAAAUGAAUUAGAGACAAAACCCUGGAGCUAGGAUUUGUUUUGUGUACUUGGUUAACGGCAAUGAUCAUGUUUUAUUUUGACCACAUAUUUCUGUGAUUGUGGUGGAACAGGAAUCAAAAGAAAUUAAAGAAUGUGUAAGCAGAAACUCAGUUGUAUGUAAGAAAGCCCAAUUCUCCCUGAGAAAGAGAAAGAGCUGGAGUCCUUUAAAAAUUAACUUCCUGUUUUACUGUGGCUAGUAAGCCUUAUCUCUCCUCCUUUCCCAGGCAUUGUGAAGACCCUGUUUCUCUAGCUGUACAGCUGCAAGGUCACUAGACAGAUAAACUCAAGCCAUUAAACAUGUUUUUCCUUGGAAAGUAAGGAAUGUUGUAAUGCAUGUCUCAAUUAAUUAAAUAACUCUCUUUGUUUCUUGCUUCCAUAAUAUAUUUCCCCUGCACAGGUCUCCCCCCACCUCAUGAAAUGCUUAAAAGGUAACUUAACUGUUUGUUCAGGGCUCAGUCCCUUGGAUGUUAAUCUAACUGGGCCGGCGCACCUAAAUAAUAAAUAUCCUCCUCAACCCCAUCGGUCUCUCUGAUUCCUUAUCAAUCCCACUACAGUGGGGAUAAUAAAAGACUAUGAUGGGAAAGUUUGAGGGACAUAAUUAUGUAAGAAUUAGAAAAACACUUCAUUCAACUAGCAGAACCCAAAUUUUUUUCACCCUAUGUGUAUAUAAGGAUUUUCAUACAACUUUGCGUAGACUUGUUUCUUUUUCUCACAUUUGCAGUGUUCACAUUGCUAAAGGGACUGACAAAGCAAUACCAAUGUACUGGGUGGUCAUUGCUUUUUUUUUGCCUUUAAAAUUUUUCAACAUUAGUAGUCUGACAUAGUGAAUCAUAUUUGAUUAUCUACUUUGAAAUAAAUGGAAAAUAUAUACAAUGUUUUCAUUUACUUUUAUCUAUACAUAUAAAGUUACAUAGCUUAAAAAUAAUUGCAUUGUUUGUGAUUAACACAAUUUGUUUACUACAACUUAGUAUACCAAAGAUAUUCCACAAUUUUUAAUUCAUUUAUUUGGUGAUACACAUUUGAGCUAUUUCUGCCUUUUGGCUAUUGUGAAUAGUACUAUUAUGAACAUGUGUGUACACUUACUUGUUUGAGUACUUGUUUUCAAGUCCUUGGGGGUAUAUACCUCAGAGAUAAAUUGUGAGGGUAGGGGAACAGGCAGCAUUAACUUAAUGGGUAUGGGGUUUCCUUUGGAGAUGAUAUUAUAAAAAUGUUUUGGAACUAGAUAGAAGUGGUGGUUGCAUAACAUUUUGAAUGUACUGCAUGCCACUGAAUUGUUCACUUUUAAAUGAUUAAUUUUAUAUGUACAUUUACCUUAAUAAAAAAUUCCAUAGUUCUGAAAGUUUUA
rnacentral:sRNA from 1 species